GACGAACGCUGGCGGCGCGCCUAACACAUGCAAGUCGAGCGGAGUCAAGAGGAGCUUGCUUUUCUUGACUUAGUGGCGAACGGGUGAGUAACGCGUGAGUAACCUGCCCUGGAGUGGGGGACAACAGUUGGAAACGACUGCUAAUACCGCAUAAGCCCACGGAUCUGCAUGGAUCUGCGGGAAAAGGAUUUAUUCGCUCUAGGAUGGACUCGCGUCCAAUUAGCUAGUUGGUGAGGUAACGGCCCACCAAGGCGACGAUUGGUAGCCGGACUGAGAGGUUGAACGGCCACAUUGGGACUGAGACACGGCCCAGACUCCUACGGGAGGCAGCAGUGGGGGAUAUUGCACAAUGGGGGAAACCCUGAUGCAGCGACGCCGCGUGGAGGAAGAAGGUUUUCGGAUUGUAAACUCCUGUCGUUAGGGACGAUAAUGACGGUACCUAACAAGAAAGCACCAGCUAACUACGUG
rnacentral:rRNA from 1 species